UACGGAGGUGGCAAGCGUUGUUCGGAAUUACUGGGCGUAAAGCGCGCGUAGGCGGCAUAUCAAGUCAGGAGUGAAAUCCCUGGGCUCAACCCAGGAACUGCUUUUGAAACUGGUAAGCUAGAGUCCGGCAGAGGAUGGCGGAAUUCCCCGUGUAGAGGUGAAAUUCGUAGAUAUGGGGAGGAACACCAGAGGCGAAGGCGGCCAUCUGGACCGGUACUGACGCUGAGGCGCGAAAGCGUGGGGAGCGAACAGG
rnacentral:rRNA from 1 species